rnacentral:rRNA from 1 species
GCUAAUACCCGGAUAACAACAGAUGAUGCCUAUCAACUGUUUAAAAGAUGGGUUCUGCUAUCACUCUUGGGAUGGGACCUGCGGUGCAUUUAGCUAGUUGGUAGGGUAACGGGCCUACCAAGGCGAUGAUGCAUAGCCCGAGUUGAGAGACUGAUCGGGCCACAUUGGGGACUGAGACACGGGCCCAAAACUCCUACGGGGAGGCAGCAGUAGGGAAUCUUCCACAAUGGACGCAAGUCUGAUGGAGCAACGCCGCGUGAGUGAAGAAGGGUUUCGGCUACGUAAAGCUCUGUUGUUGGUGAAGAAGGACAGGGGUAGUAACUGACCUUUGUUUGACGGUAAUCAAUUAGAAAGUCACGGCUAACUACGUGCCAGCAGCCGCGGUAAU